rnacentral:rRNA from 1 species
UACGGAGGGCGCUAGCGUUGUUCGGAAUUACUGGGCGUAAAGCGCGCGUAGGCGGCUUUGUAAGUUAGAGGUGAAAGCCCGGGGCUCAACCCCGGAAUUGCCUUUAAGACUGCAUCGCUUGAAUCCGGGAGAGGUGAGUGGAAUUCCGAGUGUAGAGGUGAAAUUCGUAGAUAUUCGGAAGGACACCAGUGGCGAAGGCGGCUCACUGGACCGGCAUUGACGCUGAGGUUCGAAAGCGUGGGGAGCAAACAGG